rnacentral:rRNA from 1 species
GACGAACGCUGGCGGCGUGCUUAACACAUGCAAGUCGAACGGUGAAGCGAGUGCUUACACUCGUGGAUCAGUGGCGAACGGGUGAGUAACACGUGAGUAACCUGCCCAUCACUCUGGGAUAAGCACUGGAAACGGUGUCUAAUACUGGAUACGACCAACCCUUGCAUGGGGUGUUGGUGGAAAGAUUUAUCGGUGAUGGAUGGACUCGCGGCCUAUCAGCUUGUUGGCGGGGUAAUGGCCCACCAAGGCGACGACGGGUAGCCGGCCUGAGAGGGUGACCGGCCACACUGGGACUGAGACACGGCCCAGACUCCUACGGGAGGCAGCAGUGGGGAAUAUUGCACAAUGGGCGAAAGCCUGAUGCAGCGACGCCGCGUGAGGGAUGACGGCCUUCGGGUUGUAAACCUCUUUCAGCAGGGAAGAAGCGAAAGUGACGGUACCUGCAGAAGAAGCACCGGCUAACUACGU